rnacentral:sRNA from 1 species
GAAAUUCUGUGUGGCAUAUGAAGAAUUUACCAUAGUGGCAUAUGUAAAGUAAAGAAUUAUUUUACCUUUUUAAAAAAAAAUAAUGCGCCUCAUAUGAGAUGUGCAUACAUGUCAGAUGUAUUGUUGCUGGUUUGAGGGAUAGUUAAGAUGCUUAUUCCAUAUUUCUAUGUUAUUCACUGUAUUACAGUACAAUGUCUUUUACUUGUGAAUGCAAUUAUUGUUCGUUAACUUUUUAAUUAUGAUGUAUAUAUUGCGGAAACCUAUAAGAAGUCUUUCAGUAGGUAAACAUUUGCAUGCCCUGACUUGUAGAGAAAUAUAGGUUUAAUAUAUUGAUAUUUUGUUGCUAAAAAUGGCACAUCAGUUGUAACAGCUAAUACAUAUUGCUGUAUUUGGUAUGACAUAUUUUUUUUCGCGUUUUUUAAAUAUGUACAAUAUGAAUUACAUGUAUCUUCACAAAAUUGUUAUUUUUCAGUCUUUUAGAUGUUUAUUCAAUGUAUAUCACCCAACAUGGUAUUAAUUCAAAUAUAAUGACUUCUUUCAUUGCUUAGUUAAAAAAACUCACUUCCUUUUAAACUGAAUGGAAUUUUAAGAAAGACACAAUGUCUAAUAAAGAUGUGAAUGUU